CGUGGCUCCGGGAGGUGUGGCGGGGGCGCUCUUUACUGCUCCGCCCCUCGCACCUCCAGCUCUUCAGGUUCUGGGAUCCGCUUGGAGUCGGCUUCGUUCAGGCAGGCUUGCAGCUGCGCAUGCUCAGGUGCAAAGAACCGUUCACCCAAACAACCACCCACCCACUCGUGCCUUCUGAGCGUGUCCUGUGCAGGUGCCAGGUGGGGAUGCGUGGGUAAGAAGGUACCUGUUUCUCCCAUAGGCCGCAGUCACGCAAACCCGACCCCGAGUGCCUGAGGGGCCAGGGCACAGUGACUCAUAGCCACACUGACCUUUGUCAUUAUAUUUUUUGUGACUGUUUGCUGGUCUCGCCCGCGGAUGAUGGCAGCCCCAGUAGUCUCUGACAAAGAGUAGGCCUAAGUAUAUGUGUGAUGUAUGGAAUAAGUGUGAACCCCACCAUCCCUGGGUUCGUUUGUGCUCCUGUCUGAGGUGCGUGUGCAGGCCGCAGGAUGAGCCCUAGAGUCUCCUUUUCCUUCCUGGAGGAGCUCCUGCCCCUUAUGUGGGAAAAACUCAAUGAGGAGAAAGUUGUGAAGCUUCGCCUGCUCUUUGAAACAGGAAAGCGGAUUUCUCGCCUAGUCACCCCAGUGUAGUUCUUUAGCGACACUGGCCUACAUGAGCUUCCCUGGCUUUGUAUCCUGAUAGGCCAGAACACUGCCUGUGGCCCUGGAGGGAACAAGUGAGCAGAGACCAUUAGCCAUUGCUGCUCAGCACAGCGGAGAGAAUUUCCUUCUUCAUACACUGCAGGACAGUGCUGGAACCCGGGAAAGGCAAAGUGCAAUCUCAUCUCCAGUAGCAUCUCAGGGAGUUCAUGGCCACAAAAGAAUGCCAUUUUGUUAAACAUUGAAGAAGUUGGCAUCUGGAAAAGAGACUCGCACACAGAAGAGGUGGUGGAACAGAAGAGUCAUGGUGAAGGUCGUCGCAGGACACUGACCAUGCAGCAGAUUUGGGGGCAGCUGGAACAAAAGGAGCAGGAGCGAGGUCACUCCUGGAAAACAGAAGGGAGAAAUAUUCAUUAGACAAUAGAAACAUUUCCAUGCAUGGAAAAUUAUUCUGAAAAGUGUUUCAUAGAGAACUCAAGGCUUGUGGAAGAAAUGUUUUAAAGGAAAUGAAACGGUUUAAACAUAACGUUGUAACCAACUUCAGAACAAUCAAAAGUUCUACCACAUGUCUUUGUCCUGUUUAGACUGAUGCACUUCAGCCACACACAGUGUUAACAGAUUAUCAUGAUAAAAACAGAGAAGCUCAUCCAACUAAAACUUGGAUCAGGAAUGGAAUAGGAUACUGUGAAUGGAAGAAGGCAUGGAAAUUAUAAUCCUCAUCUACAAGUCAGUCAGUUACUGAUGUCUGCCCUGACUAAAUAGGACAUCCAUGCUGUACAUAGUUUACGUAAGUGCACAGGCAGAGGAGAAGAGAUGGCUAAGCCUUUGGAGAAUGGCUCCCUUUGGGUGACAGGAGCAAUAAGAGGAGGAUUCAGGAUAAUGCAUGUUUUUUUAAAAAAAUAAUUUAAAAAAAUUAUUGAAUAUUCAAAACAAUUUAAUUAUGCCAUAUCAGUUCAUUAAAACUCAUGGCAGUGAGUUUGUGCAGUGGUGACAGAUCUGAAGGACAGGUAGGGUCCACAGCUUCAGCAUCCCCUGACCCUCUGUCCUCCUGCUCUGCUGUCGGGUCUCCUGGAUAACUACUCAGGCCUGAAGAGACAUCUUCACCAUCUCCCCAGGAGCCACCCUCAGGGCUAACACAUAGGUCAUCCAUGGGCUGGAGAGAUGUCUUCACAUGCAGGUACCACAU